rnacentral:rRNA from 1 species
UACGUAGGGUGCAAGCGUUGUCCGGAAUUAUUGGGCGUAAAGAGCUCGUAGGCGGUUUGUCGCGUCUGCUGUGAAAACCCGAGGCUUAACCCCGGGCCUGCAGUGGGUACGGGCAGACUAGAGUGCGGUAGGGGAGACUGGAAUUCCUGGUGUAGCGGUGAAAUGCGCAGAUAUCAGGAGGAACACCGGUGGCGAAGGCGGGUCUCUGGGCAGUAACUGACGCUGAGGAGCGAAAGCGUGGGGAGCGAACAGG